GUGCAGAGCCAUUGUUUAACUUCCCAACACAUGAGGAUAAGAAGCAGAUGGAGCUUUCAAAAGGAUUCACGGGGUGUAAGAAGAGGGUUUAAGAUGCUGAACAUCUGACCUCAGCUUUUCAAAGUCCUGUGUGGAGGAGUUCUGUCCACCCACAAAAAUGGUAAAGUAAGCCAGCCCCCAAUCUCAUCUCAAAGACACAAGGCCUUUGUUUCUCAGGAAAGACAAACCACAUUGCUCAGGACUGUAUUGGCUGUGACACAUGUGAGUGGUUUUUGUAUUCAACAUAUUGUAAUGCAUCAAGAUGUACAUAAUGUAAUGCAACAGAAGUUGUUCAAGAAAUACCUG